rnacentral:rRNA from 1 species
UGAGGAAUAUUGGGCAAUGCCCGAAAGGGUGACCCAGCAACGCCGCGUGGAGGAUGAAGGUCGUAAGAUUGUAAACUCCUGUUAGAGGGGAAGAAUAACUAAGUUUGGAGCUUAGUAUGACUGUACCCUCAGAGAAAGCCCCGGCUAACUACGUGCCAGCAGCUGCGGUAAUACGUAGGGGGCAAGCGUUGUCCGGAUUUACUGGGUGUAAAGGGCGCGCAGGCGGAAUGGAAAGUCAGUGGUGAAAUCCUACAGCUUAACUGUAGAACUGCCUUUGAUACUUUUAUUCUUGAGUUCGGGAGAGAGAGACUGAAUUCCAGGUGUAGUGGUGAAAUACGUAGAUAUCUGGAAGAACACCAGUUGCGAAGGCGGUCUCUUGGUCCGACACUGACGCUGAGGCGCGAAAGCGUGGGGAGCAAACA